rnacentral:rRNA from 1 species
CCUACGGGAGGCAGCAGUAGGGAAUCUUUCACAAUGGGCGAAAGCCUGAUGGAGCAACGCCGCGUGCAGGAUGAAGGCCUUCGGGUUGUAAACUGCUUUUAUAAGCGAGAAAUAUGAUGGUAACUUAUGAAUAAGGAUCGGCUAACUACGUGCCAGCAGCCGCGGUCAUACGUAGGAUCCGAGCAUUAUCCGGAGUGACUGGGUGUAAAGAGUUGCGUAGGUGGCAUAAUAAGUAGCUAGUGAAAUCUGGUGGCUCAACCAUUCAGACUAUUAGCUAAACUGUUAAGCUCGAGACCGGUAGGGGUAACUGGAAUUUCUAGUGUAGGAGUGAAAUCCGUAGAUAUUAGAAGGAACACCAAUAGCGUAGGCAGGUUGCUGGGACGGUUCUGACACUAAGGCACGAAAGCGUAGGGAGCAAACGGGAUUAGAUACCCCAGUAGUC